CCUGGGGAGUUUCCUUGGUUUCCAGAGUGAUGCCCAGAGAAUAUGUAUUUGAAAGCCUGGCGCUCUCUCUCCACAAGGAUGGCUUUCCCAGUUCCCAAUUACAACAGUAACAGACGCGUCCAGUUACGUAUACGAUAUAUCCCCGGGGAUAAGCACUCGAUAUAGAUCCACUUUGGGUCUAAUUUAUCUUGCCUGCAGGUGUAUUUACUGAGAAAAACCUCACCCAUCGGCCCAGGAGUAUUUGCCCUAGCUUCUGAGCCAUCAGAAUUGGAGCAAGAUAUUUAUCAGCAAACUCAGCAUUAUCAUUUUUGGAUUUUAGGGUAUAAACUGGUGAGUAUCUGGCAAAGGUUUAGCUGAAACUUCCUAUUCUGUCCCGGAGGCCGCUUGUCAACUGGGCAUUAGCUCUGAGUCUCUGCAUUU
rnacentral:lncRNA from 1 species